CAGUCGCCGCGGUAAUACGUAGGUCCCGAGCGUUGUCCGGAUUUAUUGGGCGUAAAGCGCGCGCAGGUGGUUUAAUAAGUCUGAUGUGAAAGCCCACGGCUCAACCGUGGAGGGUCAUUGGAAACGGUUAAACUUGAGUGCAGGAGAGAAAAGUGGAAUUCCUAGUGUAGCGGUGAAAUGCGUAGAGAUUAGGAGGAACACCAGUGGCGAAGGCGGCUUUUUGGCCUGUAACUGACACUGAGGCGCGAAAGCGUGGGGAGCAAACAGGAUUAGAUACCCGCGUAGUCCCUGUCUCUUAUAC
rnacentral:rRNA from 1 species